GACUUACCAAACCAUUGCAAACUCCGAAUACCGAUGAGUGCGAGCUUGGGAGACAGACGUCGGGUGCUAACGUCCGGCGUCAAGAGGGAAACAACCCAGACCGCCAGCUAAGGUCCCAAAGUCAUGGUUAAGUGGGAAACGAUGUGGGAAGGCAUAGACAGCUAGGAGGUUGGCUUAGAAGCAGCCACCCUUUAAAGAAAGCGUAAUAGCUCACUAGUCGAGUCGGCCUGCGCGGAAGAUGUAACGGGGCUAAGCAAUAUACCGAAGCUGCGGCAGCAA
rnacentral:rRNA from 1 species